GCUCUGGGACUGGAGCCUUCUAAGCCUUCCUGCCCCUUCCCCUAGAUAGCUGAGCUUUUUCUGUACGAACUAAACGGAAUGCUGGACAUUGGAAAUAAUUCUACUCAAAAGCAUGAGUUGCCUUUUCUCAUUGUAUUUGCCUCUCAGAAGGUUUUCUUGUAGAUGGAUUUAUGGAAGUGACUUUCUUCUCUGGCCCGGCGAGAGAACUGCUUUCUGGUUUACAGAACUUGGGUGUAGUGAGAAUCCUCCCUUCCACCAGCACUGAAGAAGCACUUCCUCUGAAAGAAGAUUCUGGAAAUGUAGUGGAAGACCUUGCCACCUCACAUCUACCGCCUUGUCUACCUCGUACCUCCUCGGGAGUGCCUGGUGGAGACAUGUGGAAAAGAGCUGGAAAGUGAGAAUAGAAUCCCAUUUAUCCACAGUAGCUCAACUAUAGUUAUUAAGGAGUUAUAAUACUGUUCACUGCUUCUGCCUGUGGUGUCUAUUUCUUCCCUCUUUGUCAAAGCCACUUUCGGGUGCCUUAGCCUCUUCCAGAUCCAAGCUUUCUGACUGACGUGUUUAAGAAAGUGAAAUAAAAGUUUGUAGACUACCCUA
ensembl:lincRNA 1700016G22Rik RIKEN cDNA 1700016G22 gene